rnacentral:rRNA from 1 species
AUGCAUGUCUAAGUAUAAGCAAUCUAUACGGUGAAACUGCGAAUGGCUCAUUAAAUCAGUUAUCGUUUAUUUGAUAGUACCUUGCUACAUGGAUACCUGUGGUAAUUCUAGAGCUAAUACAUGCUGAAAAUCCCGACUUCGGAAGGGAUGUAUUUAUUAGAUAAAAAACCAAUGCCCUCCGGGGCUUCCUGGUGAUUCAUAAUAACUGCGCGAAUCGCAUGGCCUUGCGCCGGCGAUGGUUCAUUCAAAUUUCUGCCCUAUCAACUUUCGAUGGUAGGAUAGUGGCCUACCAUGGUGGCAACGGGUAACGGGGAAUUAGGGUUCGAUUCCGGAGAGGGAGCCUGAGAAACGGCUACCACAUCCAAGGAAGGCAGCAGGCGCGCAAAUUACCCAAUCCCGAUCCGGGGAGGUAGUGACAAUAAAUACUGAUACAGGGCUCUUUUGGGUCUUGUAAUUGGAAUGAGUACAAUCUAAAUCCCUUAACGAGGAACAAUUGGAGGGCAAGUCUGGUGCCAGCAGCCGCGGUAAUUCCAGCUCCAAUAGCGUAUAUUAAAGUUGUUGCAGUUAAAAAGCUCGUAGUUGAACCUUGGGCCUGGCUGACCGGUCCGCCUCACCGCGAGUACUGGUCCGGCCGGGCCUUUCCUUCUGGGGAACCCCAUGGCCUUCACUGGCCGUGGCGGGGAACCAGGACUUUUACUGUGAAAAAAUUAGAGUGUUCAAAGCAGGCCUUUGCUCGGAUACAUUAGCAUGGAAUAAUAGAAUAGGACGUGCGGUUCUAUUUUGUUGGUUUCUAGGACCGCCGUAAUGAUUAAUAGGGAUAGUCGGGGGCGUCAGUAUUCAGCUGUCAGAGGUGAAAUUCUUGGAUUUGCUGAAGACUAACUACUGCGAAAGCAUUCGCCAAGGAUGUUUUCAUUAAUCAGGGAACGAAAGUUAGGGGAUCGAAGACGAUCAGAUACCGUCGUAGUCUUAACCAUAAACUAUGCCGACUAGGGAUCGGACGGUGUUUCUAUGAUGACCCGUUCGGCACCUUACGAGAAAUCAAAGUUUUUGGGUUCUGGGGGGAGUAUGGUCGCAAGGCUGAAACUUAAAGGAA